rnacentral:rRNA from 1 species
GAUGAACGCUGGCGGCGUGCCUAACACAUGCAAGUCGAGCGAUUCUCUUCGGAGAAGAGCGGCGGACGGGUGAGUAACGCGCGGGUAACCUGCCCUGUACACACGGAUAACAUACCGAAAGGUAUGCUAAUACGAGAUAACAUAAGAAAUUCGCAUGUUUUUCUUAUCAAAGCUCCGGCGGUACAGGAUGGACCCGCGUCUGAUUAGCUAGUUGGUGAGGUAACGGCUCACCAAGGCGACGAUCAGUAGCCGACCUGAGAGGGUGAUCGGCCACAUUGGAACUGAGACACGGUCCAAACUCCUACGGGAGGCAGCAGUGGGGAAUAUUGCACAAUGGGCGAAAGCCUGAUGCAGCAACGCCGCGUGAGCGAUGAAGGCCUUCGGGUCGUAAAGCUCUGUCCUCAAGGAAGAUAAUGACGGUACUUGAGGAGGAAGCCCCGGCUAACUACGUGCCAGCAGCCGCGGUAAUACGUAGGGGGCUAGCGUUAUCCGGAUUUACUGGGCGUAAAGGGUGCGUAGGCGGUCUUUUAAGUCAGGAGUGAAAGGCUACGGCUCAACCGUAGUAAGCUCUUGAAACUGGAGGACUUGAGUGCAGGAGAGGAGAGUGGAAUUCCUAGUGUAGCGGUGAAAUGCGUAGAUAUUAGGAGGAACACCAGUAGCGAAGGCGGCUCUCUGGACUGUAACU